rnacentral:lncRNA from 1 species
CAUCUCUCUAGCCCUGGAAAUCAUGUAUUUGCAGGAUGAAACUGGAAAGGAACUACAUCAUCUUUGCCUGACAGAUGGGUAAAUGACCCGUGUGCAUUCUUUUAGUGUUACAGUUGCUGAUGUCAAACAAAAUACCACACUAAGAACGUAGCUUCUUGUUACCCAUAAUCUAAUCUGGAGGUUGAAGUUGACUCUGCCUCCCGAUUCUGGGAAUAUGGGUUGGCACCACUAUGUUGCUAAGCCCGGAGUUCUUUUUUUGUGCUACUUAUUUGGUCCUUGGAGUAACCUGACUCUUAGUUUUUUUUUUUGUUGUUGUUGUUUGUUUUGUUUAUGUCUCCUCAUCUUAAGCAGAGAAUCAGAAGGCAAAGGAGCGCCCCAGAACUAAGAGUGUGGAGUGCUCUGAGCUGGGCUCGGCUCCAAACUUGCAGUUUUCCGUGUUAGAGUCAGCCUGUGUCACAUACAGUCCCCUGGAUGAUUGUUCAGUCUUUGUACCCAACCUGAUAAAUACGACAUGUAAGAACAUCGGUUUUCCCUCUAACGCUUUAUUUAAUGGUUUGAAAAGCUUCUGUUGCGACUGCCCUAAAAGUCCUUGGUCCUGUUUGUGAGAUUGCUCUUCAAAACACACAUCUGGUGGAUAGCAUUGGUUCCACCUUUGGCCUGGUUGACCACCAGGUGUUCCUUGCUUUCUUGUCAUUCUAAGGCCACCUCGGUGUCUAGUAAUUCCCGGUGUGAGUCCUACAGCUUCCUUUGUGACUCUGCUUGCAUUCCUCUUUGGCUGCUUCCUUUGUGUUCUGUGGAAUGAGACUUAACCACAAACGGAAUUUAGAAAUGCCAGACUUGUAGAUUAGAUCCAAAGUACGCAAACUAAAGCUAGAUUAGAUGUCCGUUUGACUUGUGCAGCUCUGAGUUCUCUGUUUCCUAAACGUGCAUAUUUGACAGAGGUGGUUACUGGGCCUAUGUCCUCCUGGAAGCUGGCAAGUGUCAGAUCAUUUAGAAUUGUAUCAGAAUGUGCAUGCCCAGAGUCAGACCUUGGGAUGCAAGUGCUUGUUGUUGGCUGAAACUAUGUAAAG